GAAAGGCCUACGCCAAUACAGUGUCAAGCAUUACCAAUUGUGCUCUCUGGGAGAGAUAUUAUUGGUAUUGCUAAAACUGGGUCCGGUAAGACUGCUGCCUUUGUGCUUCCUAUGAUUGUCCACAUCAUGGAUCAGCCUGAACUUCAGAAAGAAGAAGGCCCCAUUGGAGUUAUUUGUGCACCCACUAGGGAAUUAGCACAUCAAAUAUUUGUGGAGGCAAAGAAAUUCUCGAAAUCGCAUGGUAUCCGUGUGUCUGCAGUUUAUGGAGGAAUGUCUAAAUUGGAUCAAUACAAAGAACUAAAGGCUGGGUGUGAGAUUGUUGUUGCUACUCCAGGGAGGUUGAUAGAUAUGAUCAGAAAGAAGGCAUUUACAAUGUUGAGAGCAACUUAUCUAGUGCUUGAUGAGGCAGAUCGGAUGUUUGACCUUGGUUUUGAGCCUCAAAUAAGGUCCAUUGUUGGUCAAAUUAGACCUGAUCGCCAAACAUUGCUCUUUUCAGCAACUAUGCCCCGCAAAGUUGAGAAGCUUGCCAGAGAAAUAUUGACGGAUCCUGUAAGGGUUACUGUGGGUGAGAUUGGCACGGCUAAUGAGGAUAUUACACAAAUAGUUGAAGUGAUUCCUUCGGAUGCUGAAAAAUUGCCUUGGCUUCUGGAGAAGCUCCCUGGACUGAUUGACAAUGGUGAUGUUCUUGUCUUUGCUUCGAAAAAGGCAACAGUGGAUGAGAUUGAAUCUCAAUUGGCUCAGAAGGGAUUUAGAGUUGCAGCUCUCCAUGGUGACAAGGAUCAAGUUUCUCGUACGGAGACGCUGCAAAAAUUUAAAUCUGGCAUAUAUCAUGUUCUCAUUGCAACUGAUGUUGCUGC
rnacentral:misc_RNA from 1 species